rnacentral:rRNA from 1 species
AGGUGCAGAGAAAGCGCCGGCUAACUACGUGCCAGCAGCCGCGGUAAUACGUAGGGCGCGAGCGUUGUCCGGAAUUAUUGGGCGUAAAGCGCGCGUAGGCGGUUUUUUAAGUCUGAUGUGAAAGCCCACGGCUCAACCGUGGAGGGUCAUUGGAAACUGGAAAACUUGAGUGCAGAAGAGGAAAGUGGAAUUCCAUGUGUAGCGGUGAAAUGCGCAGAGAUAUGGAGGAACACCAGUGGCGAAGGCGACUUUCUGGUCUGUAACUGACGCUGAUGUGCGAAAGCGUGGGGAUCAAACAGGAUUAGAUACCCUGGUAGUCCACGCCGUAAACGAUGAGUGCUAAGUGUUAGGGGGUUUCCGCCCCUUAGUGCUGCAGCUAACGCAUUAAGCACUCCGCCUGGGGAGUACGACCGCAAGGUGAAACUCAAAGGAAUUGACGGC